UACGUAGGGCGCAAGCGUUGUCCGGAAUCAUUGGGUGUAAAGCGCGUGUAGGCGGCCAGGUAAGUCAGAUGUGAAAGCUCUCGGCUUAACCGGGAAAGUGCAUUUGAAACUGCUUGGCUUGAGUCUCGGAGAGGAAGGUGGAAUUCCCAGUGUAGAGGUGAAAUUCGUAGAUAUUGGGAGGAACAUCGGUGGCGAAGGCGACCUUCUGGACCGUGACUGACGCUGAGACG
rnacentral:rRNA from 1 species